GGCCUGCUAGCUCAGUCGGUUAGAGCGUCCUGCUAAUAACGCGAAGGUCGUAGGUUCGAUCCCUGCGCUUGCCA
rnacentral:tRNA from 1 species